rnacentral:rRNA from 1 species
CCUACGGGAGGCAGCAGUGGGGAAUAUUGGACAAUGGGCGAAAGCCUGAUCCAGCAAUGCCGCGUGAGUGAUGAAGGCCUUCGGGUCGUAAAGCUCUUUUACCAGGGAUGAUAAUGACAGUACCUGGAGAAUAAGCUCCGGCUAACUCCGUGCCAGCAGCCGCGGUAAUACGGAGGGAGCUAGCGUUGUUCGGAAUUACUGGGCGUAAAGAGUACGUAGGCGGUUAUUCAAGUCAGAGGUGAAAGCCCGGGGCUCAACCCCGGAACUGCCUUUGAAACUAGAUAACUAGAGUCUUGGAGAGGUUAGUGGAAUUCCGAGUGUAGAGGUGAAAUUCGUAGAUAUUCGGAAGAACACCAGUGGCGAAGGCGACUAACUGGACAAGUACUGACGCUGAGGUACGAAAGCGUGGGGAGCAAACAGGAUUAGAUACCCUGGUAGUCCACGCCGUAAACGAUGAUAACUAGUUGUUCGGUCACUUGGUGACUGAGUGACGCAGCUAACGCAUUAAGUUAUCCGCCUGGGGAGUACGGUCGCAAGAUUAAAACCUAAAUGAAUUGACCGGNNGAAGAGUGCGAGACGACGACGAGGAGAGG